UUGAGAGGAAAAAUGGAUGUUUGCCAAGUCCUAUUUUCAAGAGAAAAUUUUCAAGUGCAGGCCGUGGUGACAGAGAGACCUGGCUUCUAAUCCUAGCCCCACCAUUUAGGAGUCACUUCAUUUGUUUUAGUCUCCUCCCUUCUAAUGUGGAGAAAGUGAUACAUCUCUCAGGGUUGACGUGAGGACUAUGGAUAAUGCUUAAAAAAAUGCCAAGUCAGUGCCUGGUUUUGGACUCACAUUCUUCAAAGCUUGGUCCAUCAACCACCUGCAUGAGACUCAACUGCAGAGCUCAUUAAAAAUGUGAAUUCCUCAGCCCCACUGCAGCGAUAGAGGUAUUUCAAGGAGGCAUGUAUGACUUUACAGUUAAAACCGGAGGAAAGAGUUCAAAGACAGAGCACAUCAUAUUGUGGUGGUCUGACCAUCUUUCAACUCCCUCCGCGUUACGUAAGAGACCAUUAAAGGAGGACUUGAGGUUUGUAUGUGACUCCAAAGAUGUCUUCACAGAAAACUGAGAAACACUCAUCUACUGGGGAAAAGGGAUUGAAAAAAAAUCAAGGAUCAAAAUACAUGUGGUAAAUUCUUGGAAAGCACAGA